rnacentral:rRNA from 1 species
AAUGGGUGAAUAGACUACAGGAUCCCCUAGUAACUGCGAGUGAAGCGGGAAAAGCUCAAAUUUAAAAUCUGAUGGCCUUUGUCCAUCCGAGUUGUAAUUUAGAGAAGCGUCUUCCGCGCUGGACCGUGCACAAGUCUCCUGGAAUGGAGCGUCAUAGAGGGUGAGAAUCCCGUCUUUGGCAUGGACACCGGGGCUUUUGUGAUGCGCUCUCAAAGAGUCGAGUUGUUUGGGAAUGCAGCUCAAAAUGGGUGGUGAACUCCAUCUAAAGCUAAAUAUUGGCGAGAGACCGAUAGCGAACAAGUACCGUGAGGGAAAGAUGAAAAGCACUUUGGAAAGAGAGUGAAACAGUACGUGAAAUUGUUGAAAGGGAAACGCUUGAAGUCAGUCGCGUCGCCCGAGACUCAGCCUUGCCUCGGCUUGGUGUACUUCUCGGCUGACGGGUCAGCAUCAAUUUUGCCCCUUGGAUAAUGAUAAGGGAAAUGUGACACCUUUAUAGGUGUGUUAUAGUCUCUCGUCGCAUGCAAGGGUCGGGAUUGAGGAACUCAGCACGCGCCCUUGGGUGUCGGGGUUCGCCCACGAUACGUGCUUAGGAUGUUGGCGUAAUGGCUUUAAACGACCCGUCUUGAAACACGGACCAAGGAGUCUAACAUGCCCGCGAGUGUUCGGGUGGAAAACCCGUGCGCGCAAUGAAAGUGAAAGUUGGGACCUCUGUCGUGGAGGGCACCAACGCCCGGACCAGACCUUCUGUGACGGAUCUGCGGUAGAGCGUGUAUGUUAGGACCCGAAAGAUGGUGAACUAUGCCUGAAUAGGGUGAAGCCAGAGGAAACUCUGGUGGAGGCUCGUAGCGAUUCUGACGUGCAAAUCGAUCGUCAAAUUUGGGUAUAGGGGCGAAAGACUAAUCGAUCUCUAGUCCA